rnacentral:rRNA from 1 species
AUUGAACGCUGGCGGCAUGCCUUACACAUGCAAGUCGAACGCGAAAGGGGGCAACCCCGAGUAGAGUGGCGAACGGGUGAGUAAUGCAUCGGAACGUAUCCUAUAGUGGGGGACAACCUCGAGAAAUCGAGGCUAAUACCGCAUACGACCCACGGGUGAAAGCGGGGGACCGCAAGGCCUCGCGCUACUGGAGCGGCCGAUGUCCGAUUAGCUAGUUGGUGGGGUAAAAGCCCACCAAGGCAACGAUCGGUAGCUGGUCUGAGAGGACGACCAGCCACACUGGGACUGAGACACGGCCCAGACUCCUACGGGAGGCAGCAGUGGGGAAUUUUGGACAAUGGGGGCAACCCUGAUCCAGCCAUGCCGCGUGCGGGAAGAAGGCCUUCGGGUUGUAAACCGCUUUCGGCCGGAACGAAAUCGCCGGGGACAACACCCCCGGUGGAUGACGGUACCGGAAGAAGAAGCACCGGCUAACUACGUGCCAGCAGCCGCAGUAAAAC